rnacentral:rRNA from 1 species
AAUAUUGGACAAUGGGCGCAAGCCUGAUCCAGCCAUACCGCGUGGGUGAAGAAGGCCAUCGGGUUGUAAAUUCCUUUUGUUGGGAAAGAAAUCCAGCUGGCUAAUACCCGGUUGGGAUGACGGUACCCAAAGAAUAAGCAUCGUCUAACUUCGUGCCAGCAGCCGCGGUAAUACGAAGGUUGCAAGCGUUACUCGGAAUUACUUGGCGUAAGGCGUGCGUAGGUGGUCGUUUAAGUCCGUUGUGAAAGCCCUGGGCUCAACCUGGGAACUGCAGUGGAUACUGAGCGACUAGAAUGUGGUAGAGGGUAGCGGAAUUCCUGGUGUAGCAGUGAAAUGCGUAGAGAUCAGGAGGAACAUCCAUGGCGAAGGCAGCUACCUGGACCAACAUUGACACUGAGGUGCGAAAGCGUGGGGAGCAAAC